CCUACGGGAGGCAGCAGUGAGGAAUAUUGGUCAAUGGACGAGAGUCUGAACCAGCCAAGUAGCGUGAAGGAUGACUGCCCUAUGGGUUGUAAACUUCUUUUAUAAAGGAAUAAAACGAGGCACGUGUGCCUUUUUGCAUGUACUUUAUGAAUAAGGAUCGGCUAACUCCGGGCCAGCAGCCGCGGUAAUACGGAGGAUCCGAGCGUUAUCCGGAUGUAUUGGGUUUAAAGGGAGCGUAGAUGGGUUGUUAAGUCAGUUGUGAAAGUUUGCGGCUCAACCGUAAAAUUGCAAUUGAUACUGGCAGUCUUGAGUACAGAUGAGGUAGGCGGAAUUCGUGGUGUAGCGGUGAAAUGCUUAGAUAUCACGAAGAACCCCGAUUGCGAAGGCAGCUUACUAAACUGUGACUGACAUUGAUGCUCGAAAGUGUGGGUAUCAAACAGGAUUAGAUACCCGUGUAGUC
rnacentral:rRNA from 1 species